CCCUUAGAUGUUCUGGGCCGCACGCGCGCUACACUGACGAAUGCAACGAGCUUAUAACCUUGGCCGAAAGGUCUGGGUAAUCUCCAAAUUUCGUCGUGAUGGGGAUAGAUUAUUGCAAUUAUUAAUCUUCAACGAGGAAUGCCUAGUAAGCGCAAGUCAUCAGCUUGCGUUGAUUACGUCCCUGCCCUUUGUACACGCCGCCCGUCGCUCCUACCGAUUGAAUGGUCCGGUGAAGCGCUCGGACCGCGGCCUCUUGACGGUUCGCUGUCGAUUGGCUGUGGGAAGUUCGUUAAACCUUAUCAUUUAGAGGAAGGAGAAGUCGUAACA
rnacentral:rRNA from 1 species